AGUCCUUGCUCCCCAGGCUUCUUGGUACAGCACGGUUUCACCGGAUACUCCUUCGGUCUUUCCUCCGGAUACUUCUCUGGUCUCUCCAUCGGAUACUUCUCCAAUUGCUCUCUGCCUGCGGUUGAGGUAGUCCCUGGUUGCUUCCAACCUAGAACUUUGGCUAGUUCGGUUGUCGUAUCAACGUAACAAUAUAUUUUUAUAUUGGUGACCAUUUAUUUACCAGAUUUUGGUUAUUUGUUGAAUUCGUUUUCUAUCUUGUGCUUGCUCAUGAUAGAUUGGUUCGACAUCUCUCCUGGUAUCCUAUCAAGCUUAGUCAAGCUUUUGUCUCUAUGUCUGAUUUAUGUUUGCGCUUUUGCUUACCUUCAACGCUUGCUAUUCGGGUUCUGUCCGGAUAAGCCUAAUUCCCCUUGUAUCUUUCUAAUUUGAAUGAAAUAUUUGGUGUUGGGUGACAAAAAAAAAA